CACAGGCCCCGUUCUCACCAACUAUGGGCCAGGGGGGUUAUCCAGGCCCCCACUGGAGGGAUCCAACACAGUAGUUUUAACUCACAUGCUUGUUAUAUGCUUACUAUAAUCUUAUGCAGCAAUUAAGUAUGUCACGACCUAAGGCUAUUUCAGCUUCACGCUAUGUUCUUAGACCUACAUGAGCACUAGCCUUAUCUGAUUCAUCAGGUUGUAUUUCAUGGAUCUUGAUACACAAACUGCAAAUGUCCAAUGCAAUGGAGCUACUGUAGUCACAAACACCUAGCAUACAGUUGGGAACACAAUGUCAGUUU